rnacentral:lncRNA from 1 species
GUGAUUUUAUAGAGUCGUUCUCAGAAUGCCGUAUGUAGAAUUUUAAUAGGAUAAGGUAAAGCCUUGCUGUGGAUGUGAUCCCAGGGCUGAGGCAGAUUGGGAACUCCCUUCGAAGAGCCACCAGUCAAAGCACUGCUCCAGGUUGAGGGUUGUCACGCUGUCCUCCACAGGCUCCAGUGUGUGUCACAAUCAGGUGACAUAUACACUCAUGAAGAUCCUAGACUGAAAAGUGGCAAAACUCACAAUUCCAAAUGUGGGGACCCAAAUGUGAGCUGAUUCUGUUCCCUCGAAGAUGGCACACUACGCCAAAGAAAGGUGCCAAGCCCAGGCCAGACUGGAACACUAACGUCCUUCAAGGAUGAUCAUAAAUCCUUUGUCGCCUUUGGACUUCUAUUGUUUACAACACUGGCAUUUAAGGAUGAUUCAUCCUGUUAACACCAUCUGUCUUCAUUUUGUCUUGAGGGAAGUUUGACCACAACAGCCUUACACUGAUUACAGAGACUCCAUGUGAUCAAGAAAAACCUGUGUAACCUAUAAAGUCCCCAGAGCCUUCAUCCAGUAGCUGAUGGAAGCGGAAGCAGAGACCCACAGCUAAACACUGAGCUGAACUCCAGGAAUCCAGUUGUAAGAGGAGGGGGAGUGAUGAGCAAGGAGUCGAGACCAUGCUGGGGAAACCCACAGAGCUGAGACAAAACAGCUGACCUGAGCAAGGGGGAGCUCAUGGACAGCUGGGGAACCAGCAUAGGACCGAACCAGGCCUCCUGAACGUGGGUGUCAGUUAGGAGUCCCGGGCAGUCUAUGGGGCAUCUGGCAGUGGAACCAGUAUUUAUCCCGAGUGCAUGAAUGGACUUUGUGAGCCCAUUCCCUAUGGAGGGAUAAUAUCUCAGCCUAAAUACACAGGGGAGGGCCUAUGCCCUGCCCCAAAUGAUGUGACAGACUUUUAUGAUCCCUCC